rnacentral:rRNA from 1 species
GGACCCGCACAAGCAGUGGAGCAUGUGGUUUAAUUCGAAGAUACGCGCAGAACCUUACCAACACUUGACAUGUUCGUCGCGAGACCAAGAGAUUGGUUUCUUCAUUCAGUUGGACGAAACACAGGUGCUGCAUGGCUGUCGUCAGCUCGUGUCGUGAGAUGUUGGGUUAAAGUCCCGCAACGAGCGCAACCCCCUACUUUUAGUUGCCACCAUUUAGUUGGGCACUUUAAAAGAACUGCCAGUGAUAAGCUGGAGGAAGGUGGGGAUGACGUCAAGUCCUCAUGGCCCUUACGUGUUGGGCUACACACGUGCUACAAUGGCACUUACAAUGGGAAGCAAAGAGGCAACUCCUAGCCAAUCCCUAAAAUGUGUCUCAGUUCGGAUUGUACUCUGUAACUCGAGUGCAUGAAGCUGGAAUUGCUAGUAAUCG